UCAAUCAUACAAUCCCUCUUCUUCCCACACAUCCACAAGAAAAUUCACCAUUUCCUGCAACAAAUAACACACAACCCUCCAUCAAAAACACACACAAAUAUGCAAAUCAAGAGGCCAGUCGAGCGUCGUCAAAGGUACAUGAAGCGUACACCUAGGAGCCAACAAACCAAAGCGAGCAGUUUAAUAAGGCGCUAUUGCGGCCAGGACCUUGGUCCAGGCACAGUAUACUUUUAGCCCAUUGAAGCAGUUAGCAUGAGAAAGAACUCAUUACGCUUUUCAAAAGCAAAAUACGCAGCUCCUAUUUGCACAGGAAGACUUACCGGUAGAGGGACUGGCUUUGGAAAAGGCUUGUUACUCCCAAGCAAAUUAUCAUAUGUUGCAUUCCAGCUACACAAUAAAUAAUAAAUAAACAUAAAAGUGAUCAGAUAAUGUUAUCAAAUAUAUAAUCCAGAACUUAAUAUACAGUAUAUGUUGUCAAAAGCGCAAAAAGCGCGCCUCUAGGCGCUCGGGCGCAGCGAGGCGCAACUAUAGCGCCUGGUGGUAGCCUAGACGCAAAAAUGGGUUUUUUUUUUGAAAAAACGGUGCUGAGGCGCAAAAAGGCGCGCGACUAGGCACAAAAACGGGUACUGAGGCGCAGCGCAUAAGCAGAAAACACAAAAAAAAACGAAACCGAGUGCGUGCAAAAACUGCCUCACGCGGGCCCGGGUUUUUGGAGCUGCAUUCGUGCAGGCACGCACGAGUUCAACCAAAUUCCAGCUCAGAAACUCAUUUUUGCAUAUAUAAUAGUUUUUUUAAUUUUAUAUAUGGAAUCUUAUUUAUUUUCAAAGCAUAAAAUAUUUUUUAUAUUUUUUUCUCUAUGUGUGCUUUUCUUAAAAAAGCCCACGCUUUUUUUUGCGCCUUGCGCCUAGGCUCCGGGCGAGGCCGAUGCGCCUCGCCUGCGCCUUGCGUCUGUGCAUAUAGGUUUUAUGAUUGAAUUAUAAAAACUUUUUGUGUAAUACGAAAAUUAAAUUUGCUUCUACAUGUACACCUUUCUGUCAACCUACAUGUUAUAUAUUUAUACAAUCAUGAACUUUUUUCUUCUUAGUUCUACAAUUAUUAGUGAAUUAUAUUAUUAAAUUCUCACCUUAUAGCAGGUUCUCGAGUUUUCUUUUUGUGACCGGAUCCCUUAUCUCCAAUCCAUUGUUGUCUUGUUUGAUUCCAAAGAAGAAGACCUGCAAACAACAACAGAAUUCAGAAUCCAUCAAACACGUCGCAACGUGCAUAUGUGGUUCAACGUUUUUACCUCUAUUUUUCCCAUUUAGUGGCUGCGUUAUGUUUUACGUUUCGGUCUAAUUUUUGCAUAUUAACACGCCGCAACAACCAUGCAUGGUUCAACGUUUUUACCUCUAUUUUUCCCAUUUAGUGGCUGCGUUAUGUUUUACGUUUCGGUCUAAUUUUUGCAUAUUAACACGCCGCAACAACCAUGCAUGGUUCAACGUUUUUUACAUCUCCUUUUCGUUCGGUUUUAUUUUCUUCGUUUUUUUUAUUUCUUUUGUUUUACGAGCUUUUCCGAUGUUGGUGGUCGCUGACGACGGUGUGGCAUUGAUGCUACCUGGCACGGUUUUACUUUUCAUCAUUUACAAUUUUUUCGUUUUUACUUCUCGGUCUAAAUUUUUCGAGUUAACACGUCGCAACGUGCGUAUGUAGUUCAACAUUUUUACCUCUAUUUUUCCCAUUUAAUGGCUGCGUUAUGUUUUACGUUUCAGUCUAAUUUUUGCAUAUUAACACACCGCAACAACCGUGCAUGGUUCAACGUUUUUUACAUCUCCUUUUCGUUCGGUUUUAUUUUCUUCGGUUUUUUUAUUUCUUUUGUUUUACGAGCUUUUCCGAUGUUGGUGGUCGCUAACGACGGUGUGGCAUUGAUGCUACCUGGCACGGUUUUAACCCCCCCCCCCCCCCCCGCAACGCGCGCCCAAAGGGUGGGGCUACUACUAGUUACAUUAAAAAAUAGAACUUUUUAAAAGUAAUUAAGAAAAGACCAUCUUUUAUAAAACUUUAGAUAUAAACAUAUUACUCUAGUUAUUUUGAAACUCAUAUUGGUGAAUAAAAUAAAACGUACCGCGAUUUACAAAUUCAGGAGGAUUGCUUCCGGAACUACUGUGGGCAUCAAGGUUAGGGUUUGACAUGCUAACUGACGAGGCACUUAACUGCGACUGACCGGCACUGUUAUCCAUCUCAUAUGUA